rnacentral:rRNA from 1 species
CCUACGGGUGGCAGCAGUGAGGAAUAUUGGUCAAUGGACGCAAGUCUGAACCAGCCAUGCAGCGUGCAGGAUGACGGCUCUAUGAGUUGUAAACUGCUUUUGUACGGGGGUAAACCCCGCUACGUGUAUAGGGUUGCAGGUAUCGUACGAAUAAGGAUCGGCUAACUCCGUGCCAGCGGCCGCGGUAAGACGGAGGAUCCGAGCGUUUUCCGGAUUUUUUGGGUUUAAAGGGGGCGUAGGCGGUGCGAUAAGUUAGGGGGUAAAUUUCGGGGCUCAAACCGGGCACUGCCUCUAAUACUGUUGGACUAGCGAAUAGUUGCGGCAGGCGGAAUGCAUGGUGUAGCGGUGAAAUGCUUAGAGAUCAUACAGAACCCCGAUUGCGAAGGCAGCCUACCAAACUACAUCUGACGUUGAGGCACGAAAGCGUGGGGAGCAAACAGGAUUAGAUACCCGUGUAGUC